rnacentral:lncRNA from 1 species
GUCAGCAGAAUCGGAUGACUGUUGUCGGGCGCGCUGCUGAGCCUGCGGGGACUACGGGGAUGGCGCCGGGCUGGUGUCCCGGGUCUCCGACCUCCGGCCCUUGGCUGCCCACAGACCUCACCCGUCUUGCGUGCGGAGGGAGAUGUCCUGGGGACUGGUCCUCUAGUGGGUUCCGAAAGUGGAAGCCUGCGGACUAAACAGACCCAAACUAAGGAGCUUCCCACUUGCCCGAGUCACUUGAAGGGCUUUCGCACCUACAACGAAGUACAACAAACAAAAUACAACUUCUGAGUCCCAUCGUUCAGGGUUUCUCUGUAUAGUCCUGGCUGUCCUGGCACUCACUUUGUAGACCAGGCUGGCCUCGAACUCAGAAAUCCGCCUGCCUCUGCCUCCCAAGUGCUGGGAUUAAAGGCGUGCGCCACCACNCCCGGCUUUUUGAAAAACCAAAAAANAAAAAAAAANAAAAAAAAAAAAAUUAAAAAAAAAAAAAAGACCAUGGUGAAAGAGAGCUGAAGAUUUCAAGCUAAGCAAUGCUGGCAUCUUGUCUGUGUUACCAGUCCCACAAUCUCAGGAAGUUCACCCUCUUUGAGCUUUAAUAUGAAAUGGAAUUUCUGUGAAUUUAAUGAGUAAGAGGCUGACAUACUUAACAGGUGAUAAAUAAUAUGUGGGAUGUGUAUGCAAUUCCCGAUUUUUUUCAUAAUAUUCCUGAAGUUAUUACUGUCAGGUCCAAAAGCCGUUUGUUCAGUUAACCUCUCCUCUCACCUCCUCUGCUUGCGUAGCCCAAACCAGUCUUGAACUGAUUUCUGAGGCCAGACAGGCCUGGAAAUCAAUAUUCUCCUGCCUCAGCCUCCAUAGGGCUAGGGUUACAGGUGUGAGCCUACCAUAUUCUUAUCUCAGAACACCAUU